rnacentral:rRNA from 1 species
AUUGAACGCUGGCGGAAUGCUUUACACAUGCAAGUCGAACGGCAACACGGACUUCGGUCUGGUGGCGAGUGGCGAACGGGUGAGUAAUGUAUCGGAACGUGCCCAGUCGUGGGGGAUAACGUAGUGAAAAUUACGCUAAUACCGCAUACGAUCUAUGGAUGAAAGCGGGGGAUCGCAAGACCUCGCGCGAUUGGAGCGGCCGAUAUCAGAUUAGGUAGUUGGUGGGGUAAAGGCCCACCAAGCCAACGAUCUGUAGCUGGUCUGAGAGGACGACCCGCCACACUGGAACUGAGACACGGUCCAGACUCCUACGGGAGGCAGCAGUGGGGAAUUUUGGACAAUGGGCGAAAGCCUGAUCCAGCCAUUCCGCGUGCAGGAUGAAGGCCCUCGGGUUGUAAACUGCUUUUGUACAGAACGAAAAGGUUUCUACUAAUACUAGGAGCUCAUGACGGUACUGUAAGAAUAAGCACCGGCUAACUACGUGCCAGCCGCCGCAGUAA